GCGCCCUUGGUGUAGUGGUAACACACAAUCUGUUUGUCGCAAUAAGAUGGGACUUCAUGAUUGGGUCCGGGGUUCGAGUCCCAGAGGGUGCA